AAUCUUCUUACUCCAAAAACAA
rnacentral:snRNA from 1 species